rnacentral:rRNA from 1 species
AACGAACGCUGGCGGCAUGCCUAACACACGCAAGUCGAACGAGACCUUCGGGUCUAGUGGCGCACGGGUGCGUAACGCGUUGGAACCUGCCCUUAUGUUCGGAAUAACUCCCCGUAAGGUGUGCUAAUACCGGUUAAUGUCUUCGGACCAAAGAUUUAUCGCCUUUGGAUGGGCCCGCGUUGGAUUAGCUAGUUGGUAGGGUAAAAGCCUACCAAGGCGACGAUCCAUAGCUGGUCUGAGAGGAUGAUCAGCCACACUGGGAAUGAGAAACGGCCCAGACUACUACGGGAAGCAGGAGAGGGGAAUAUUGGAGAAUGGGGGAAAGCCUGAUCAAGCAAUGCCGGGUGAGUGAUGAAGGCGGUAGGGUUGUAAAGCUCUAUUACACGGGAUGAUAAUGACAGUAACGGGAGAAGAAGCACCGGCUAACUCCGUG